UUAUUCGCUGACAUUUGUUUUCCAAUUGCGUGAAAUUUGGUCAUUUCCUUAGUGUUUCGCUGACCGACCUGUGCUGGUAUUGUGAUUAAGGGCUAAUACACAUUUUUCGGACGAUUCUGCUGUGCUGCGUUCCUGCUCCGCCUGUAUAUUGCUCCGCCCGUAUUUUAUAGUGUUGCGUUCCUGUUGCGCCUUUGCAUUAGUGUGUGCGUUGUGAUUUAGACACGUUGAAAUUUUUUGUAUGCUUCUGCUGUGCUGCGUUCCUGCUCCACCCGUGUAUUAGAUUGCUGCGUUCCUGUUAACAUACAUAUCGUCGCUUAAAGUACAAAACCGCGUAACUGACAUUUGCUGCUAAAAAUUGGAUUCGCUCACACACGUUUUUGGAUCAAUCCUUAUCCAUUCUUCCUGAAAUAUA